rnacentral:rRNA from 1 species
AACGAACGCUGGCGGCAUGCCUAACACAUGCAAGUCGAACGAGACCUUCGGGUCUAGUGGCGCACGGGUGCGUAACGCGUGGGAACCUGCCCUUAGGUUCGGAAUAACUCCCCGAAAGGGGUGCUAAUACCGGAUAAUGUCUUCGGACCAAAGAUUUAUCGCCUUUGGAUGGGCCCGCGUUGGAUUAGCUAGUUGGUAGGGUAAAAGCCUACCAAGGCGACGAUCCAUAGCUGGUCUGAGAGGAUGAUCAGCCACACUGGGACUGAGACACGGCCCAGACUCGUACGGGAGGCAGCAGUGGGGAAUAUGGGACAAUGGGCGAAAGCCUGAUCCAGCAAUGCCGCGUGAGUGAUGAAGGCCUUAGGGUUGUAAAGCUCUUUUACACGGGAUGAUAAUGACAGUACCGGGAGAAUAAGCUCCGGCUAACUCCGUG